GAUGAAGAACGCAGCGAAAUGCGAUACGUAAUGUGAAUUGCAGAAUUCAGUGAAUCAUCGAGUCUUUGAACGCACAUUGCGCCCUCUGGUAUUCCGGAGGGCAUGCCUGUCCGAGCGUCAUUGCUGCCCUCAAGCACGGCUUGUGUGUUGGGCUCCGUCCCCCGAUCCCGGGGGACGGGCCCGAAAGGCAGCGGCGGCACCGCGUCCGGUCCUCGAGCGUAUGGGGCUUUGUCACCCGCUCUGUAGGCCCGGCCGGCGCUUGCCGAUCAACCAAACUUUUUUCCAGGUUGACCUCGGAUCAGGUAGGGAUACCCGCUGAACUUAAGCAUAUCAAUAAGCGGAGGA
rnacentral:misc_RNA from 1 species